GCCUGGCUGGCUCAGUCCAUAGAGUGUGUGACUCUUGAUCUCAGGAUUGUGAGUUCAAGCCCCAUAUUGGGCA
rnacentral:tRNA from 1 species